rnacentral:lncRNA from 10 species
GAGGGGAGGGGAGGAAAAGGGAGAAAAGACAACACACCAAAACUUAUGAGAUGCAGCAAAAACAGCACUGAGGCUGAGGCAGGAGAAUCACUUGAACCCCGGAGGCAGAGGCUGCAGAGAGCCAAGAUCGCACCACUGCACUCCAGCCUGGGCAACAAGAGUGAAACUCCAUCUGAGAAAAAAAAAAAAAAGAAAGCCUUCCAACAAAGAAAAGCCCACGACCAGAUGGUGAAUUCUACCAGCAAAGGCUGAGCGCGGUGACUCAAGCCUGUAAUCCCAGCACUUUGGGAGCCACGUGCAGGAUGAUUGCCUGACCCAGCACUUUGGGAGGCUGAGGCAGGCAGAUCACCUGAGAUCAGGAGUUCGAGACUAGCCUGACCAACAUGGAGAAACCCCGUCCUACUAAAAAUACAAAAUUAGCUGGGCGUGGUGGCAGGCGCCUGUAAUCCCAGCUACUCAGAAGGCUGAGGCAGGACCCAGGAGGAGAGGUUGCAGUGAGCCGAGAUCGUGCCAUUGCACUCCAGCCUGGGCAACAAGAGCGAAACUCCGUCUCAAAAAAGAAAGAAAAAUAAAAAGCAAAACAGUCUUUAAUAAAAACAAAGUCAGGCCGGGCAUGGUGUAAUCCGCUUGUAAUCCCAGCACUUUGGGAGGCUGAGGCUGGCAGAUCACCUGAG